rnacentral:rRNA from 1 species
UAGGGAAUCUUCGGUAAUGGGGGGAACCCUGACCGAGCAACGCCGCGUGAGUGAAGAAGGUUUUCGGAUCGUAAAGCUCUGUUGUUAAGGAAGAACGAGUGUGAGAAUGGAAAGUUCAUGCUGUGACGGUACUUAACCAGAAAGGGACGGCUAACUACGUGCCAGCAGCCGCGGUAAUACGUAGGUCCCGAGCGUUGUCCGGAUUUAUUGGGCGUAAAGCGAGCGCAGGCGGUUAGAAAAGUCUGAAGUGAAAGGCAGUGGCUCAACCAUUGUAGGCUUUGGAAACUGUUUAACUUGAGUGCAGAAGGGGAGAGUGGAAUUCCAUGUGUAGCGGUGAAAUGCGUAGAUAUAUGGAGGAACACCGGUGGCGAAAGCGGCUCUCUGGUCUGUAACUGACGCUGAGGCUCGAAAGCGUGGGGAGCGAACAGG